CACGUAGGGUGCGAGCGUUGUCCGGAAUUAUUGGGCGUAAAGAGCUCGUAGGCGGUGUGUCGCGUCGGCCGUGAAAACCUGCAGCUUAACUGUGGGCGUGCGGUCGAUACGGGCAGACUUGAGUUCGGUAGGGGAGGACUGGAAUUCCUGGUGUAGGCGGGUGAAAUGCGCAGAUAUCAGGAGGGAACCACCAGGAGGCGAAGGCGGCUACCUGGACAACUUGCCUGACGCUCAGGCACGAAAGCGUGGGGAGCAAAAGGG
rnacentral:rRNA from 1 species